rnacentral:hammerhead_ribozyme from 1 species
AUCCAGCUGAAGAGUCCCAAAUAGGACGAAACGCGCGUCGAACUGGAU